UUCCGUCACUUAACAGAGGAAAGCUGUUUUUCUCUUGCCGUUCAAAGAUCCCUGUUCAGUCUAUAAAUACCAGACAAACCAAACACAAUAUUCACUUGACAAUUUUCUUCUGGCCAGUAGCAGAUAUGGGGGACAAACAAAGAUUCCACAUCCACUUCCAGUCCUUCUAGUUCUACCCACCUGCAACAAUGCUAUAUUCAGCAGAUCUGCUUGAUGUUUAAUGUGGGUUCCUAGAGAUUGUUCUUGCAGAGCUAAAUUUCAGAUAUGGGUUCUCUCUGACUAGUUUAUUUGAUUGGAUUUCACUGUGACCUGUAAUGGGUUCUUAAUUUGUAGAGUUUGUUAUGCUCUGUCAGAUCUAAUGUCACAAGAAAAUGGGAAUUAGGACCAAGUACAAUCUGUAUUUGGUGCUGCAGGCCUAAUUUGGAUGGUGAUGUUAUUUGUUGGAUUUACUGGCCAUAUUUGUAAGGGGUUGAUUAGAAUUUUUUUAAUGUUUAUUUGGGUGUAUUAGGUAGGUAAUGUAAUGACUCUGCAGUUGCCUUUUA